CCGCCUGGGAUCGAGGGUCUCCGGGUUUUACGCACCCUCCGCGGCCCUUUCGGAGGCCUCUACCCCCACGCCAUCCAGCGCCGGGUCUCUUUCGACUGCUCCCAGGUUUCUCUCGGGCUCGCUGGGGGCCCAGGCCCGCUCCCUUGUCCGUGAGAGCAACCUGGGGGAAAACGACCGUUUCCCUUUCAGAGGACCGAUGGCAGAAACAAGGCCCUAGGCCCAGUUCUCUAACCCUAACUAUUCUGGAACUUCCUAUUAUGUAGACCAGGAUGGCCUCUGACUCCUGGGAUUGAAGGAGGCAAAACCUUCAACUGAGGACUUAGGAGAUAAGAAAGAAGGAGAAUACAUUAAACUCAAAGUUAUUGGACAGGACAGCAGUGAGAUCCAUUUCAAAGUGAAAAUGACAACACAUCUCAAGAAGCUCAAAGAAUCGUACUGUCAAAGACAGGGAGUUCCAAUGAAUUCACUCAGGUUUCUCUUUGAAGGUCAGAGAAUUGCUGAUAAUCAUACUCCAAAAGAACUGGGAAUGGAGGAAGAAGACGUGAUUGAAGUUUAUCAGGAACAAACGGGGGGUCACUCGACGGUUUAGAUAAUUCUUUUUAUUUUUUAUUUUUUCCUUUUCCCUCAAUCCUUUUUUAUUUUUAAAAAUAGUUCUUUUGUAAUGUGGUGUUCAAAAUGAAAAUUGAAUACUGGCACUCCAUCUCUUAGAACAUCUGGUAAUCUGAAUUCUAGUGUUCAAU
rnacentral:lncRNA from 1 species